AGUAUUCCUCCUCCCUCUAUCUUCUCCUUUCUAGCAAUUGGGAGGAUGAAGGCAGCUUGAGGUCAGGAGUUCAAGACCAGCCUAGCCAAAAUGGCAAAACCCAUCUCUACUAAAAAUAGAAAAAUUAGCUGGGCGUGGUGGUGGGCACCUGUGAUCCCCCCACCUCAGCCUCGGGGGUAGCUGGGACUACAGGCACACACCACCAAGUGCCUGUAUUGUAUUUUUUGUAGAGAUGGUUGCCCAGGCUGGUCUUGAACUCCUG
rnacentral:lncRNA from 10 species